CAACUUUGGUGUCUUACUCUCUGUAUCUCGAAUUUAGUUUUUUCAGUUUUUGAGAUUUUUCAACAAUGCCCAUCUUUUUCUCCAUUGUUCAUAUUUUCGACUGAUCACUGGAAAUCUUUAUUUUUCUGACAAAAUCGGCUUUUUUGGACUGGUCGAUUUCUGCAAGUGCUGAAGCCAAGGUGUAAUCUUCAUUCUAAAACUGAGUUUUGGGACUAGUGAAUUGAAGGAAUUAAAGGCUUGGUUUUGUUUAUACUUGUAAAAUGUUUAGAUAGAGCAAUUGGAUUGUGGGUUGACUUUGAAAAAAUAUGUAAGAAUUAGCGCUUUAUAUUAUCAGUAUAGGAUAGAUGAUUACAAUGAA